GACGUAGGAUGCGAGCGUUGUCCGGAUUUAUUGGGCGUAAAGAGCUCGUAGGCGGUUUGGCAAGUCGGGUGUGAAAACUCCGGGCUCAACUCGGAGACGCCACUCGAUACUGCCAUGACUCGAGUCCGGUAGGGGAGUGCGGAAUUCCUGGUGUAGCGGUGAAAUGCGCAGAUAUCAGGAGGAACACCGGUGGCGAAGGCGGCACUCUGGGCCGGUACUGACGCUGAGGAGCGAAAGCGUGGGGAGCGAACAGG
rnacentral:rRNA from 1 species